rnacentral:rRNA from 1 species
GUGAGGAAUUUUCCGCAAUGGGCGAAAGCCUGACGGAGCAAUGCCGCGUGAAGGAUGAAGGCCUAUGGGUUGUAAACUUCUUUUCUCAGAAAAGAAUUAUGACGGUAUCUGAGGAAUAAGCAUCGGCUAACUCUGUGCCAGCAGCCGCGGUAAGACAGAGGAUGCAAGCGUUAUCCGGAAUGAUUGGGCGUAAAGCGUCUGUAGGUUGUUUAAAAAGUAUUCUGUCAAAGAUUAGUGCUUAACCCUAGAUAGGCAGAAUAAACUUUUAAGCUAGAGUUUGGUAGAGGCAGAGGGAAUUCCCGGUGGAGCGGUGAAAUGCGUAGAUAUCGGGAGGAACACCAAAGGCGAAGGCACUCUGCUGGGCCAAUACUAACACUGAGAGACGAAAGCGAGGGGAGCAAAUGGGAUUAGAUACCCUAGUAGUCC